rnacentral:rRNA from 1 species
UUUGAUUCUGGCUCAGAACGAACGCUGGCGGCGUGGAUAAGACAUGCAAGUGGGACGCUAAUAGGCAGGUAGCAAUAUUUGUCUGUUGGAGUCGCGUAAGGGUGCGUAACACGUGGGUAAUUUGCCGUGAAGCUCGGAAUAACCUGCCGAAAGGCAUGCUAAUACCGAAUGUGUCUGCAGUUAGGAUCUAUUUGCAGACGAAGCCGGGGAUCGUAAGACCUGGCACUUCGCGAUAAGCCCGCGGCCUAUCAGCUAGUUGGUGAGGUAAUAGCUCACCAAGGCUAAGACGGGUAGCUGGUCUUAGAGGACGACCAGCCACACUGGAACUGAGACACGGUCCAGACACCUACGGGUGGCAGCAGUCGAGAAUUUUUCACAAUGGGCGAAAGCCUGAUGGAGCGACGCCGCGUGGGGGAUGAAUGGCUUCGGCCCGUAAACCCCUGUCAUUCGGGAUCAAAUCUGCCAGCCUAAUACGCUGGUAGUUGAUAGUACUGAAAGAGGAAGGGACGGCUAACUCUGUGCCAGCAGCCGCGGUAAUACAGAGGUCCCAAGCGUUGUUCGGAUUUACUGGGCGUAAAGGGCGCGUAGGUUGCGAGCUAAGUCUAAUGUGAAAGCUCUGAGCUUAACUCAGAAAUGGCAUUGGAAACUAGUUUGCUAGAGGAUUGAAAGGGAGAUUGGAAUGCUCGGUGUAGCAGUGAAAUGCGUAGAUAUCGAGCGGAACACCAGUGGCGAAAGCGAAUCUCUGGGCAAUUCCUGACACUGAGGCGCGAAAGCUAGGGGAGCAAACGGGAUUAGAUACCCCGGUAGUCCUAGCUGUAAACGGUGCACGCUUGCCGUAGUGGAAUCGACCCCACCUGUGGCGAAGCUAACGCGUUAAGCGUGCCGCUGGAGUACGGUCGCAAGAAUUAAAACUCAAGAAAUUGACGGGGGCC